rnacentral:rRNA from 3 species
AGCGUACACGGUGGAUGCCCUGGCAGUCAGAGGCGAUGAAGGACGUGCUAAUCUGCGAUAAGCGUCGGUAAGGUGAUAUGAACCGUUAUAACCGGCGAUUUCCGAAUGGGGAAACCCAGUGUGUUUCGACACACUAUCAUUAACUGAAUCCAUAGGUUAAUGAGGCGAACCGGGGGAACUGAAACAUCUAAGUACCCCGAGGAAAAGAAAUCAACCGAGAUUCCCCCAGUAGCGGCGAGCGAACGGGGAGCAGCCCAGAGCCUGAAUCAGUGUGUGUGUUAGUGGAAGCGUCUGGAAAGGCGCGCGAUACAGGGUGACAGCCCCGUACACAAAAAUGCACAUACUGUGAGCUCGAUGAGUAGGGCGGGACACGUGGUAUCCUGUCUGAAUAUGGGGGGACCAUCCUCCAAGGCUAAAUACUCCUGACUGACCGAUAGUGAACCAGUACCGUGAGGGAAAGGCGAAAAGAACCCCGGCGAGGGGAGUGAAAAAGAACCUGAAACCGUGUACGUACAAGCAGUGGGAGCCUCUUAAUGGGGUGACUGCGUACCUUUUGUAUAAUGGGUCAGCGACUUAUAUUCUGUAGCAAGGUUAACCGAAUAGGGGAGCCGAAGGGAAACCGAGUCUUAACUGGGCGUUAAGUUGCAGGGUAUAGACCCGAAACCCGGUGAUCUAGCCAUGGGCAGGUUGAAGGUUGGGUAACACUAACUGGAGGACCGAACCGACUAAUGUUGAAAAAUUAGCGGAUGACUUGUGGCUGGGGGUGAAAGGCCAAUCAAACCGGGAGAUAGCUGGUUCUCCCCGAAAGCUAUUUAGGUAGCGCCUCGUGAAUUCAUCUCCGGGGGUAGAGCACUGUUUCGGCAAGGGGGUCAUCCCGACUUACCAACCCGAUGCAAACUGCGAAUACCGGAGAAUGUUAUCACGGGAGACACACGGCGGGUGCUAACGUCCGUCGUGAAGAGGGAAACAACCCAGACCGCCAGCUAAGGUCCCAAAGUCAUGGUUAAGUGGGAAACGAUGUGGGAAGGCCCAGACAGCCAGGAUGUUGGCUUAGAAGCAGCCAUCAUUUAAAGAAAGCGUAAUAGCUCACUGGUCGAGUCGGCCUGCGCGGAAGAUGUAACGGGGCUAAACCAUGCACCGAAGCUGCGGCAGCGACACUAUGUGUUGUUGGGUAGGGGAGCGUUCUGUAAGCCUGUGAAGGUGUACUGUGAGGUAUGCUGGAGGUAUCAGAAGUGCGAAUGCUGACAUAAGUAACGAUAAAGCGGGUGAAAAGCCCGCUCGCCGGAAGACCAAGGGUUCCUGUCCAACGUUAAUCGGGGCAGGGUGAGUCGACCCCUAAGGCGAGGCCGAAAGGCGUAGUCGAUGGGAAACAGGUUAAUAUUCCUGUACUUGGUGUUACUGCGAAGGGGGGACGGAGAAGGCUAUGUUGGCCGGGCGACGGUUGUCCCGGUUUAAGCGUGUAGGCUGGUUUUCCAGGCAAAUCCGGAAAAUCAAGGCUGAGGCGUGAUGACGAGGCACUACGGUGCUGAAGCAACAAAUGCCCUGCUUCCAGGAAAAGCCUCUAAGCAUCAGGUAACAUCAAAUCGUACCCCAAACCGACACAGGUGGUCAGGUAGAGAAUACCAAGGCGCUUGAGAGAACUCGGGUGAAGGAACUAGGCAAAAUGGUGCCGUAACUUCGGGAGAAGGCACGCUGAUAUGUAGGUGAAGUCCCUUGCGGAUGGAGCUGAAAUCAGUCGAAGAUACCAGCUGGCUGCAACUGUUUAUUAAAAACACAGCACUGUGCAAACACGAAAGUGGACGUAUACGGUGUGACGCCUGCCCGGUGCCGGAAGGUUAAUUGAUGGGGUUAGCGGUAACGCGAAGCUCUUGAUCGAAGCCCCGGUAAACGGCGGCCGUAACUAUAACGGUCCUAAGGUAGCGAAAUUCCUUGUCGGGUAAGUUCCGACCUGCACGAAUGGCGUAAUGAUGGCCAGGCUGUCUCCACCCGAGACUCAGUGAAAUUGAACUCGCUGUGAAGAUGCAGUGUACCCGCGGCAAGACGGAAAGACCCCGUGAACCUUUACUAUAGCUUGACACUGAACAUUGAGCCUUGAUGUGUAGGAUAGGUGGGAGGCUUUGAAGUGUGGACGCCAGUCUGCAUGGAGCCGGCCUUGAAAUACCACCCUUUAAUGUUUGAUGUUCUAACGUUGGCCCCUGAUCGGGGUUGCGGACAGUGUCUGGUGGGUAGUUUGACUGGGGCGGUCUCCUCCUAAAGAGUAACGGAGGAGCACGAAGGUUGGCUAAUCCUGGUCGGACAUCAGGAGGUUAGUGCAAUGGCAUAAGCCAGCUUGACUGCGAGCGUGACGGCGCGAGCAGGUGCGAAAGCAGGUCAUAGUGAUCCGGUGGUUCUGAAUGGAAGGGCCAUCGCUCAACGGAUAAAAGGUACUCCGGGGAUAACAGGCUGAUACCGCCCAAGAGUUCAUAUCGACGGCGGUGUUUGGCACCUCGAUGUCGGCUCAUCACAUCCUGGGGCUGAAGUAGGUCCCAAGGGUAUGGCUGUUCGCCAUUUAAAGUGGUACGCGAGCUGGGUUUAGAACGUCGUGAGACAGUUCGGUCCCUAUCUGCCGUGGGCGCUGGAGAACUGAGGGGGGCUGCUCCUAGUACGAGAGGACCGGAGUGGACGCAUCACUGGUGUUCGGGUUGUCAUGCCAAUGGCACUGCCCGGUAGCUAAAUGCGGAAGAGAUAAGUGCUGAAAGCAUCUAAGCACGAAACUUGCCCCGAGAUGAGUUCUCCCUGACUCCUUGA